CAGACCCUAAAAAAUCAAAACAAACAAGAUGCGUUUGUGAAACACAAUGUCCCCCUUGAAGGAUGACCUUGACCUUGACCCUUCACCAAUCAAAAUGUGCAGCUCCAUGAGAUACACAUGCAUUUCAAAUAUAAAAUUGCUAGCUUCAAUCAGGGACCUAUACAAACAAAGGGAUGAGACACUCACUGAACCGAAGAACAAGCUAUCGCGUUGUUACGCAAAAGGGAACGAGACUUGCGACCCAACGAGACUUCGCGCUUCGAGGCAAAUUUUAACAGCCGCCAUUUUGACAAAGCGAGACCGUGACAAAGCAAUCGAGAAAUAAUAAGAGUACAAAUUAACCAAGUGUUGCCAACACAGAAGUAUUCAUUGCAAAGAAUGCAUAGAAAACGCAAAAGAGGAUCCCUUACGGUGAAACGCAAGUACCACUACAUAACAUCUGAACAGCCAAAGGAAGAAAACCAUGUUGCCAGUGAACCCCUGGUGAACAUUAAAGCUACAACAGAUUCUUCUACCCAGUCAGAAAGUGAAAAUGUGCAGUUCACAAGUGAUCAUAGUUAUGCUAUUGAUGAAGACUCCACAUAUGAGCUUGACUCCUUCCAGGAGACAAACAAUGAUAAGCCUGAAGCUGAUGUGAUGGAAUGUAGUUCAGGGCUUCUAGAAAUGGAGGUGGAGACGACAACCUUCUCAGACUUUGCUGUGGAACUUAAACUGCAAAAUUUUUCAUCUCAGUUCGUUGUAAAGGAAUUAGAGCAAUCAAUUCAAAUGUUACAGUUGUACGCAAAUGACAGUCUGACAGCAAUCAAGUUAUCGGUUGAAAUUAAGAGUGAUUUUACGUGCUCUGUCUAUGUGCAUCGGAAAUGCAUUCCGAGAUCUCACCAAAUAUGGACUGGACUGCCACAACAUAUCAAUCGCGUUGCUUAUGUUCUGGUGUUAUAGGAAAGACUGUUAAAAUUUGAUGUCUGCAUAGGAAAUCCUGAGGUGGAAUUUUCAAUUAUUUUUUUUUCGCAUAGAUAGUCGAUGUAGGGAUAUAGAUAAAUGAAAUUAACUAGUUUAUAUAGAUGGAGUUAUUAAUUUUACUUAUAGAUUUCUCUCUAAAUAAAAUGAUUGUACUUUAUAUACUCUAAGGAACCAUAUCGCUAUACAUAAACUAUAGUUUUGCUUUAGUAUAGGUUGUCAACACAGGGAUUUUACUUAUACUUAACUACAAUUAAGUGUAGCAUAGGAAGAGGUAUAUCAUACAGCUUUUACAUUGUCAGUAUUACUCAAUUCUAUAUUUCUAAAAAAAAAUUACGAAUGAAAAAACAAUGCAAGUAUAUACUUUAUGCAGUUAUAUGCAGGGAUCAUAUUUUUUUCUUAUAUGUGUCCUAAUUUUAUAUUAAUGUAUGUAAUUCUUGUUUAAAAAAAGUCAUUUAAUAAUUAUAUUUUUCACUUAUGAACUUUGGUACAGACAGGUCACUAUGUAUUAACAAUAUUAACAUUCUCACGAAAACAUGUUUAUUCCUUAUAUUGUAAUAGGAACUUUUUCGAAGUGAUGCAUGAUUUGUAUUUACUUCAAAAGCAUGCUGUUAUUGUAAAUGUAAUGUAAAUGACGAUUAGCUUAACAUGCUUAAGUCAGAAUAAACUUUUAUGUUCUAUUAACUGCAUUUAAAUCUUUGUCCAUAAUUUUGUUAAAACCAUUCUACAACACGUUUUAUAUUCAUUUCUUUGAAAAUAAUUAAAGGAAUAAAACACUAAA